CGUCGGCGCCCAUGGGUACUCUCCCUUUUCGAAACGUUUUGAAAGACAAUGCAACCAUCCCAAUGGAAUAUUAUUGAAGCCCUGGUUGAAAAAGCCCCUAAAGAUUUAUGUUAUACAACGUUUGACAUGUUUGAACGAACUUAAAUAUAUAUUUUCUGCUCAUUCCUGACGACAAGUGAGACGCAGACGGUACAUUUUCACUAGCCUUCGGAGCGCGCUAACGCUAUUGGGACAUAAAUUAUUAACUUUUUUGAACAAAACUACAUUUGUUAUGGACCUGGGAUUCCUAGAAGUGCCUUCUGAUAAAGAUAAUCAAAGAUGACGCAAUCUCAAUCGCACUCCACACUGCCCUUUCCUACCUGGACAAAAGGAACACCUAUGUGAGAAUGCUGUUCAUUGACUACUGUUCAGAGUUAGUGCCCAGGAAGCUCAUCACUAAGCUAAGGACACUGGGACUGAACACCUUCCUCUGCAACUGGAUCCUGGUCUUCCUGACGGGCCUCCCCCAGGUGGUAAGGCUCCAAGGCAUAGCGAUUGGUCUCUGCUAUGUCUCCCACCAGCUCCUCUGUCAGAAACAACUUGAAGCACUCUGCCUCAGAUGGAAAUGGCAUGGGCCGUUGCACUCCAGACUGGGAAUCAUCAACGCAAACAGCAGGGCCAGGAGGGGUGACAUGGCUGGCAGCCUUCCAGCUACCACAGAACUCCUGUACUUCAUCCACUAUCGGUCUGACUCCAUCACCACCAGCAUCUUCAAAUGGAACCAGGAC
rnacentral:lncRNA from 1 species